UGUCUCAUAACUGAAUAUCUUUGACUCUUUGGCCAUAAAUCUGGACCCUCCUUUAUAAUGAAAUGAAAAUUUGGAACCGCCUCUAAACCCCAUAUUUUAUCACAGUAGAUGUCUUUAUGAAGCUGGUUUGGGCCUUGAAGCACAGUAUUUUAUUGAUCGACUGUGAGCUGCCACCACCUGUGCACCCCCCAAGUGAUGACAGAAACAACCAGGCUGUCAGUUGCCAGGCAAUAUUCACAACCACUGGCCCACAUCGGCUAAUUACCAGCAGAAAUCACGUAUUGACAGAUGGGCCCAUGCAUAUUGAUCGGCCAGCGCUGCCACGUUCUAAAUCACCAAACGCUAAUGAAUCAUUUCCUGUUUGCGAGAAAGAAGGGAAAAAGCAUUAGUCUCCAGCCUGACAUCAUACCUGUGCGGCACAUAGCACAUAACGCGUGUUAUACACGUAUUGCAGCUACCAACAUUUAAGCUGCUUAUACAAACACCACCAGGCUCCCUGCCUGUCUGUCUCCCUCUCUCACCUCAGCCAUCCCUCUCUGUGCUGAGUGGCAGUUAUUUUUCAUAGCGGCGAGCUGGCCGAGGCAGUAAAUACCUCUCUCCUCAGACUGCGGACCCAGAGUGACCCUGCAACCUUUGUGUCUCUGAUGUCUCUCCCAAGGUCUCUCAUUCCAAGGUCCCUGUGAUGCAGCGCUCUGGUUGCAGCGUAGACCCUGUAAUUCACCAGCCUGCUAGAUCGCCUGCCAGGAGCUAUUGAUUUUUGUUUCCCCAAUCUCCAGGAGAGAGGGAAAGAAAAGAUUAAAAACACUUUGUCAGUUUGGUAGGGAAUAAGAAUUCUGCGCAGAGGGAUGCCUAGGAGGGCAUGGGGUCAGGGCUGAGGUACUGUACGUCUUUAUGGCUUUAACUAUUUCCACACCACGGACAUCUUUUUCUGGAUCUCACCCUCUCUUUGUCUUUUCUUUCUGUGCCAGGAGAAUUCAAGGGUAGAAGGGGAAGCAGAGAUUCUGCAGGUGUUGUUACUCAGCGAUGACCUCUACUGCUCCUCUCGGGUUUAAUAUGAUGUCAGCCCACCUUUUGCAGCUAUAACGGCUUCAGCUCUUCUGGGAAGUCUUUCCACAGGUUUAGGAGUGUUUAUGGGAAUUUUUGACUGUUCUUCCGUAAGCACAUUUGUGAUGACAGACACUGAUGUUGGAUGAGAAGGACUCAUCGUCCUUAUGGACCUUACUUUGUGCACUGGUGCACAGUCAUGUUGGAACAGGAAGGAGCCAUCUUCAAACUGUUCCCACAAAGUGGCUACUGCUAAACGCAGACUCAUCAUUAUCACACAGAGAAGCGUGACUUGUCCUUCCAGAGAUCACAGCUCCACUGCUCUAGAGUCCAGUGGCGGCGUGCUUUACACCACUGCAUCCAACGCUUUGCAUUCUACUUGGUGAUAUAAGGCUUGGAUCCAGCUGAUCGGCCAUGGAAGUCCAAUCCAUGAAGCUCUCUGCGCACUGUUCUUGAGCUAAUCUGAACAUUACGUUUGGGGGCCUCUGCACACUCUGCUGACCCCUCUCUGUGAUUUUGUGGCUGUGUUGCUGUUAUUCCCAAUCACUUCUACUUUUUUUUUAGAAAACCACUAACAGCUGAAUUUGGAAUAUUGCACAGGUGACAUCCUAUCACAGCACCACGCUGGAAGUCACUGAGAGCGACCCCUUCUUGCACAAAUGUUUUUAGAAGCAGUCUGCAUGCCUAGGUGCUUGAUUUUAUACACCUGUGGCCAUGGAAGUGCUUGGAACCUCUUAAUUUAAUUAUUUGGAUGAGUGACUGAAUACUUUUGGCAAUGCAGUGUAGCUUGCUGUACACAUGAAAUGUGUUUGUGAUGAGUUGCUGUGUGACUUCUUACAGGCUCUUUUUCCUCCAGUCUCCCUUCACUUAAAUGUAGUCAUAAAAGGCCAAAACAGCAUCCAGUUUUCCCUCACAAUUGAAUCCUACUGUAUGCAGCUGCACCACCACUUAAUUUCGAUUCAGUCUGAGCACUGAACACUGGCUUGCUUAGGUAGUGUAUUCCAAUAUAAUGCAUAAUUUAUAAGGUGAUUGUUUGUUUUCUAUGUAAACUUUAAACAACCCUCAGCCAAGGAGUUAGUAAAUAAUGCUGUUAAAUAAAUGUAAUGGAAGAGAAUUAAGUGGUACGGGUCGCAUCCAGUGGAAAGAAAAUUCAAGCUCCUUCAGCAGGAAUGUGUAAACCAAAACAAAUAAA